rnacentral:rRNA from 1 species
AGAGUUUGAUCCUGGCUCAGGAUGAACGCUGGCGGCGUGCUUAACACAUGCAAGUCGAACGAACCUUCGGGUUAGUGGCGGACGGGUGAGUAACGCGUGGGAAUCUGCCCUCAGGAGGGGGAUAACGGCUGGAAACGGCCGCUAAUACCCCAUAUGCCGAGAGGUGAAACGAAAUUCGCCUGAGGAUGAGCCCGCGUCUGAUUAGCUAGUUGGUGGGGUAAGAGCUUACCAAGGCGACGAUCAGUAGCUGGUCUGAGAGGAUGAUCGGCCACACUGGGACUGAGACACGGCCCAGACUCCUACGGGAGGCAGCAGUGGGGAAUUUUCCGCAAUGGGCGAAAGCCUGACGGAGCAACGCCGCGUGAGGGAUGAAGGCCUCUGGGCUGUAAACCUCUUUUCUCAAGGAAGAAGACAUGACGGUACUUGAGGAAUAAGCCACGGCUAAUUCCGUGCCAGCAGCCGCGGUAAUACGGGAGUGGCAAGCGUUAUCCGGAAUUAUUGGGCGUAAAGCGUCCGCAGGCGGCCCUGUAAGUCUGUCGUUAAAGCGUGGAGCUUAACUCCAUUUAAGCGAUGGAAACUACAGGGCUUGAGUGUGGUAGGGGCAGAGGGAAUUCCCGGUGUAGCGGUGAAAUGCGUAGAUAUCGGGAAGAACACCAGUGGCGAAGGCGCUCUGCUGGGCCAUAACUGACGCUCAUGGACGAAAGCCAGGGGAGCGAAAGGGAUUAGAUACCCCUGUAGUCCUGGCCGUAAACGAUGAACACUAGGUGUCGGGGGAAUCGACCCCCUCGGUGUCGUAGCCAACGCGUUAAGUGUUCCGCCUGGGGAGUACGCACGCAAGUGUGAAACUCAAAGGAAUUGACGGGGGCCCGCACAAGCGGUGGAGUAUGUGGUUUAAUUCGAUGCAACGCGAAGAACCUUACCAGGGUUUGACAUCCUGCGAAUCCCUUGGAAACGAGGGAGUGCCUUCGGGAGCGCAGAGACAGGUGGUGCAUGGCUGUCGUCAGCUCGUGUCGUGAGAUGUUGGGUUAAGUCCCGCAACGAGCGCAACCCCACGUCUUUAGUUGCCAGCAUUCAGUUGGGCACUCUAGAGAGACCGCCGGUGAUAAACCGGAGGAAGGUGUGGAUGACGUCAAGUCAUCAUGCCCCUUACAUCCUGGGCUACACACGUACUACAAUGCUACGGACAAAGGGCAGCAAGCUCGCGAGAGUUAGCAAAUCCCAUAAACCGUGGCUCAGUUCAGAUCGUAGGCUGCAACUCGCCUACGUGAAGGAGGAAUCGCUAGUAAUCGCAGGUCAGCAUACUGCGGUGAAUACGUUCCCGGGCCUUGUACACACCGCCCGUCACACCAUGGAAGUUGGCCAUGCCCGAAGUCGUUACUCCAACCC